CAGAUCAAAUAUCAGAUGAGUGCAGGUAGACUCUGUUUGACUCAAUCAUUUUGUCCCGCGCGAUUCGAAAUCCCGAAAGUUUCGAUUUUUAAAUAUAUCAGCAAGAAGAACACUGACAGAGUCGAUUCGAGGGAGACGAAAAAGGGGAUGAAUCGGAGGGAGAUGAAGGGAGCGCUACCGAGGCUUCAGCUAGGGGAAACCCACCAUUCGGCGUUUUCCACGUCAUCAUCGAACCCCUCUCGCUUCCAGAACCUUCUGGAAGCCGGAGCUGCCGACGGCAACCUUCCCUCCUCCGCUCCUCUCGGCAUCGACGUUGACCCCAGUUUCGACGACCGGGAGUUCAUACUCAGCCAAGACUUCUUCUGCACUCCCGAUUAUAUCACACCGGAUAAUCAGCCUAUGGUGAACGGCUGGGAUUGCAGCAAGCUGGAAGAUAUCCCUUGCCCCAGAUCACCGGAGAAGUCGAAUACCGUUAAGUCGAAGAGGCGCAGGCAGGAUCAGGAUGACAUCUCAUUGAAUCCUCUCAGCCCUACGUUGUUCGGAAAUGAGCCGGUAGUUGAGCUUGAGAAAGAUGUUUUUGGCAUGGAUGAGGUUGUGAUGGAGAAACCAACAGCAACAGAACCACGGAAGAAGCAAAAUUAUGUAUCUCAAUCUGCAGUGGCUUUACGCUGUCGUGUUAUGCCUCCUCCGUGCUUGAAGAAUCCUUAUUUGAAGGAUGCUUCAGAAAUUGGCAUUGAUCCUUUUGGCAACCAAAGAUCGAAGGCUUUCUUCCCUGCAUUUAUGGGCGGAAAUGGCCUUUCGCGUUACUGUGCUGAUUUUCAUGAGAUUGAGCAAAUCGGCAGUGGGUACUUCAGUCAUGUAUUCAAAGUCUUGAACAGAAUUGAUGGUUGUUUGUAUGCAGUGAAACGUAGCAUGAAGCAGUUGCAUCAGGAUACAGAAAGGAGAAAGGCUAUGAUGGAAGUUCAAUCUUUGGCAGCUUUAGGGUCCCAUGAAAACAUUGUUGGAUACUAUUCGUCUUGGUUUGAAAAUGAGCAGCUGCACAUUCAGAUGGAGUUAUGUGAUCACAGCCUAUCCAUCAACAAAUUUUGCCGACCAUUCAAAGAGGGGGAGAUUUUAGAAGCCUUGUAUCAGAUUUCAAAAGCGUUGCAGCUUAUACACGGGCGAGGAAUAGCUCACUUAGAUGUAAAACCUGAUAAUAUAUAUGUGAAGAAUGGUGUUUAUAAGCUUGGUGACUUUGGAUGUGCAACUCUACUUGACAACAGCCUGCCAAUUGAAGAGGGUGAUGCUCGAUAUAUGCCGCAAGAAAUCCUGAAUGAGAAAUAUGAUGAUCUUGAUAAGGCCGAUAUCUUCUCCUUGGGAGUUGCUGUUUAUGAGCUUAUUAGAGGUUCACCUUUGCCAGAAUCAGGACCUCAAAUUUUAAAUCUCAGGGAGGGAAAGUUGCCACUCCUUCCUGGUCAUUCGUUGCAAUUUCAGAACUUACUCAAGUUCAUGUUGGAUCCAAAUCCAGUCUGGAGGCCGUCAGCGAAAGAUUUGGUCGAAAAUCCAAUUUUUGACAAGGUGCGGCGAAAUGGACGAGCCUAGGGCAACCACGAUCGCCUUUGGAAGAGAAUGGCAUGUUGUAUUCGCCAUCCAUAUGCAGCAUCAGCAGGCACUGCAAAACAGGAAAAGGAAAGGAUGUUAAUGUGCAAAGAAUGAAGGAUGUUUUACAGAGAAAAAGCCUUUGAAUUUGUCAACAGGCGAGUUCCACACUUCGGAGUCUAAGGUCUUGUUCGGAAAGUAAUUCUGCGAGGGCCUUAAUCACUUAUGGGAGAAGGAUAUGUGCUUCUCUAUAAAUCACUUUUGGUGAUUUUGCUUGAAAUCACGAUGGCUAGUGAUUUUAAGGAAAAGCAUUUCUCAUGAGCUGCUUCUAAGAGUCACUUUCGAAUGACCCCAUCGCCCAUUGUAGCUAAAUCAUAAGGGGUAUAACUGAUAGC